GGGGAAGCGCAGGAUCCUGGGCUGUGUCCCCCGGUGCCCUGGGAUCCUGGGCCUGUGCUGCUGGAAUCAUGCUCCCGGGGCCGUGGCUCCCA
rnacentral:pre_miRNA from 1 species